rnacentral:rRNA from 1 species
UACGUAGGGGGCAAGCGUUGUCCGGAUUUAUUGGGCGUAAAGAGCGUGUAGGCGGUUUGGUAGGUCCGCUGUGAAAACUCGAGGCUCAACCUCGAGACGCCGGUGGAAACCAUCAGGCUAGAGUCCGGAAGAGGAGAGUGGAAUUCCUGGUGUAGCGGUGAAAUGUGUAGAGAUCGGGAGGAACACCGGUGGCGAAGGCGGGUCUCUGGGCAUCUCCUGACGCUGAGGCGCGAAAAGCGUGGGGAGCGAUCCGG